UACGAAGGGGGCGAGCGUUGUCCGGAAUCAUUGGGCGUAAAGAGCGUGUAGGCGGCCAGAUAAGUCCGCUGUGAAAUCUCGAGGCUCAACUUCGAGCUGUCGGUGGAAACUGUCUGGCUAGAGUCCGGAAGAGGAGAAUGGAAUUCCUGGUGUAGCGGUGAAAUGCGCAGAUAUCAGGAAGAACACCCGUGGCGAAGGCGGUUCUCUGGGACGGUACUGACGCUGAGACGCGAAAGCGUGGGGAGCGAACAGG
rnacentral:rRNA from 1 species